AGUAGGGAAUCUUCCGCAAUGGACGAAAGUCUGACGGAGCAACGCCGCGUGAGCGAAGAAGGUCUUCAGAUUGUAAAGCUCUGUUGUUAGGGAAGAACAAGUACCGUUCGAAGAGGGCGGUACCGUGACGGUACCUAACGAGAAAGCCACGGCUAACUACGUGCCAGCAGCCGCGGUAAUACGUAGGUGGCAAGCGUUGUCCGGAAUUAUUGGGCGUAAAGCGCGCGCAGGCGGUUCCUUAAGUCUGAUGUGAAAGCCCACGGCUCAACCGUGGAGGGUCAUUGGAAACUGGGGAACUUGAGUGCAGAAGAGGAGAGUGGAAUUCCACGUGUAGCGGUGAAAUGCGUAGAGAUGUGGAGGAACACCAGUGGCGAAGGCGGCUCUCUGGUCUGUAACUGACGCUGAGGCGCGAAAGCGUGGGGAGCAAA
rnacentral:rRNA from 1 species